AGCCUCUUGACCUAUUAAUAUAAGAGGUACUGCCUGCCCAGUGACACCUGUUCAACGGCCGCGGUAUCAUGACCGUGCAAAGGUAGCGUAAUCACUUGUCUUUUAAAUAAAGACCGGUAUGAAUGGCGAAACGAGAGCCAAGCUGUCUCUCCCAGUUAAUCAGUGAAAUUGAUCUUCCCGUGCAGAAGCGGGAAUACAAUUACAAGACGAGAAGACCCUAUGGAGCUUUAAGCUAAACUAACUACGCAAACUAAACUACAAGGUACCAUUAGUAUAAAGCUUUAGGUUGGGGCGACCGCGGAGAAAAAUAAAACCUCCGAGAUGAUUUAGCCAAGAAAAACACAUCAAAGCAACAAAAACCUUGACACAUUGACCCAAUACUUGACCAACGAACCAAGUUACCCUAGGGAUAACAGCGCAAUCUUCUCAUAGAGUCCUUAUCGACGAGAAGGUUUACGACCUCGAUGUUGGAUCAGGGCCCCCAAAUGGUGCAGCAGCUAUUAAAGGUUCGUUUGUUCAACGAUUAAAGCCCU
rnacentral:rRNA from 1 species